rnacentral:rRNA from 1 species
UACGAAGGGGGCUAGCGUUGCUCGGAAUCACUGGCGUAAAGGCGCACGUAGGCGGCUUUUUAAGUCAGGGGUGAAAUCCUGGAGCUCAACUCCAGAACUGCCUUUGAUACUGAGAGCUUGAGUCCGGGAGAGGUGAGUGGAACUGCGAGUGUAGAGGUGAAAUUCGAUAGAUAUUGCAAGAACACCAGUGGCGAAGGCGGCUCACUGGCCCGGUACUGACGCUGAGGUGCGAAAG